GUGCCAGCCGCCGCGGUAAUACCGGCAGCCCAAGUGAUGUCCCAUAUUAUUGGGCCUAAAGCGUCCGUAGCUGGCCGACCAAGUCUCCCGGGAAAUCCACCCGCCCAACGGGUGGGCGUCCGGUAGAAACUGGCCGGCUUGGAACCGGAAGGCUCAGAGAGUACGUCCGGGGUAGGAGUGAAAUCCCGUAAUCCCGGACGGACUACCGAUGGCGAAAGCACUCUGAGAAGACGGCUUCGACAGUGAGGGACGAAAGCUCGGGUCUCAAACCGGAUUAGAAACCCUGGUAGUCC
rnacentral:rRNA from 1 species